rnacentral:rRNA from 1 species
GCAAGCGUUUUCCGGAAUUAUUGGGGGUAAAGGGCGCGUAGGCGGUCUUUUAAGUCUGUGUGAAAUCCCCCGGCUCAACCCCGGGGGGGCAUUGGAAACUGGGGGACUUGAGUGCAGGAGAGGAAAGUGGAAUUCCCAGUGUAGCGGUGAAAUGCGUAGAGAUUUGGAGGAACACCAGUGGCGAAGGCGACUUUCUGGUCUGUAACUGACGCUGAGGCGCGAAAGCGUGGGGAGCAAACAGGAUUAGAUACCCUGGUAGUCCACGCCGUAAACGAUGAGUGCUAGGUGUUGGGGGGUNCCNAUCCCUUCAGUGCCGCAGNUAACNNA